CUAGAGGACAUUUUGUAUAUAAACAGUGUCAAAUCCUGAGUCUCUCACAUCACAAAAUCAAAAUGGGCCUUUGCACAGUUCAAUCUAUCAAUGCAUCGCCUCCUCUUCUUCUCCCAAACCCUAAACCAUCUAUUCCCAUUAAACAAAUCCUAACCAUUCGCGCCGCUUCUCUUUUAUCCCGGUCAAUUUGCCUGAGAAAUGUUGUAUCAAAGGCGACAACAUCCGAGGAUUCGUCAAGUGAGGCAAGUCAAUUUUUUGAUGAGAAGCGUGACAAUGUCACUGUCUUGGAUGAUGAUGAAGCUCUUGAUAAUAAGAGAUUCAAUGGAAUAAACCCAAAACAAGAGUUAUCUGUGGUGGAACAAGAAGGCCUGUCAUUGAAUGUUCUGGAUAAUCUUAACAUAAAGGUUUUCUUAACAACAUUACCUGUUUAGUUUUCACUUUUCAUUAAUAUUUUUCGUGGCUUUACACAUUGAUGGAGUGACUUUGUGUUUUUUAGGUCACUGCUUUUUCAAUUGUAGUGUUUUUACCAGUUAUAGGUGCAUAUAUUUCACUGAUUCUGAUCUGGGUGUGUUUUUCCAAUUGAGUUGCUAUGAUGACAUAUCAGUUCAUUGAUGUUUGAUGAUAUUUCGGUAAUCAUGUCGAACCUGAGCGGUUAACUGAGCAACUUUGCACGUUUUCAUGUAUUUUGUUUCUGUCAUUUGCUUUAUGAUAUUGUUUAAUUUAUAAGCCUUUUUUCUUGAGUUUCCCAUGUAUAAAACACUGCUCUUUCCGAGCUGCUAUUCCUGUGUUAUUUUCAUACAUUUCACUGAUUCUGAUUUGGAGUUGCUAUGAUGAGAUAUCAGUUUAAUGAUUGUUUUAUGAUAUUUUGGCAUUCAUGUCGAACCUGAGCGGUUAACUGAGCAACUCUGCAUGUUUUCAUGCAUUUUGUUUCAUUUUCAUUUGCCUGAUAAUAUCAAGUUUUCCCUGUAAAACAAUCAUUGUUCUUCCAGAGCUGUUCCUCCUGUUUUAUUUACAUAUUUUUCACUGUUUCUGAUUUAAAUGUAAUUUUCCCAAUUGAGUUGCAAUGAUGAUAUAUCAGUUUAUUGAUUGUCUGGUGAUAUUUCGGCAAUCAUGUCGAACCUGAGCGGUUAACUGAGCAACUAUGUACGUUUUCAUGUAUUUUGUUUCUUUGUCAUUUGCUUGAUGAAAUUGUUUAGUUUACAAGGUUUUUACUUGAAUUUUCCCUGUACGAAAACAUUGUUUUUCCGAGCUUCUCUUCCUGUAUUAUUUACAUAUCUUUCACUGUUUCUGAUUUAAAUGUAAUUUUCCCAAUUGAGUUGCAAUGAUGAUAUAUCAGUUUUAUUGAUUGUCUGGUGAUAUUUUGGCAGUCAUGUCGAACCUGAGCGGUUAACUGAGCAACUAUGCACACUUUCAUGUAUUUUGUUUCUUUGUCAUUUGCUUGAUGGUCUUGUUUAGUUUACAAGGCUUUUACUUGAAUUUUCCUUGUACGAAAAUAUUGUUUUUACGAGCUUCUCUUCCUGUGUUAUUUACAUAUAUUUCGCUGAUUCUGAUUUGGAUUUAUUUCCCCCAAUUAAGUUGCUAUGAUGAGAUAUCAGUUUAUUGAUUGUUUUAUGAUAUUUUGGCAGUAAUGUCGAACCUGAGCGGUUAACUGAGCAACUCUGCACAUUUUUAUGAAUCUUGUUUCUCUGUCAUUUGCUGUGAUUAUUUACUUUAUAGGACUUCUUGAAAUUUCCCUGUAUGGUAUUAUUGUUCUUUCUGGGCUGCCUUUCCUUUGUUAUUUACAUAUAUUUUAAUGGCCCUGAUUUGGAUGUAUUCCCUCAAUUGAGUUGCUAUGAUGAGAUAUCAGUUUAUUGAUUGUUUGAUGAUAUUUCGGCUCUUAUGUCGAACCUGAGCGGUUAACUGAGCAACUCUCUCUUCAUGUGUUUUGUUUCCUUUUCAUUUACUUGAUUUAUAUGUUUUUAGUUUAUAUGGCCUUUUUCUUGAGUUUUCCCUGCACUAAAAUGUUCUUUUUGAGCUGUUCUUCCUGUGUUUUUUUACAUAUAUUUGACUGAUUCUAUUUUGGAUGAAUUUCCCUCCAAUUGAGUUGCAAUGAUGAUAAAUCAGUUUAUUGAUUGUUUGAUGAUAUUUUGGCAGUCAUGUCAAACCUGAGCGGUUAACUGAGCAACUAUGCACUUUUCUAUGUAUCUUGGUUUUUUUUUUAGUGUUCCUUGAAAAACUUAUUUUUUCUUUCUGAGCUGCUGCUCUGUCUGUGUUAUUUACAUAUAUUGCAUUGAUUCUGUCUUGGAUGAAUUUCCCCCAACUGAGUUGCUAUGAUGAGAUAUCAGUUUAUUGAUUGUUUGAUGAUAUUUCGGCAGUCAUGUCGAACCUGAGCGGUUAACUGAGCAACUCUGCAUGUUUUAAUUUAUUUUGAUCGCUUUUUAUUUGCCUGGAUGUGAUUGUUUUUAGUAUUUUUUGUACUACUAGGGGUAUCCUCUCACCUUACGGGUAAUGAAUUAAUCCCUUUCGGGGUAUGUGACUGUCCCUGCCAACUAGUCACUCCCAUGAAGAACCGUUGACAUUUUGGUCAUCAUAGGUAUCUAGUGGGAUAUAAGGCUUUUUCUGGGCUGCUCUUCCCGUGUCAUUUACUUAUGUAAUUUAUCAAAAUUUACCAGACGAGUAUUGAAAGCGGACUAAAGCUUUGAUGAUGCCUUUUGUAUAAGUAUGUAUUUUCUACUUUGCUGUGCAAUGCAUCAUUUCUGUCUACCACCAGUUUCC
rnacentral:lncRNA from 1 species